AUGGCUCAGAAUAAACGCUGGCGGCGUGCCUAACACAUGCAAGUCGGAUGUGCCCGCAAGGGUGCAUGGCAGACGGGUGAGUAACGCGUGGGAACCUACCUCUUUGUGGGGAAUAACGUCCGAAAGGAAUGGUAAUACCGCAUGAGACCCCGAACUGGGACGUUCGGGGUGAAACCUGGGGACCGUAAGGCCUGGGGCAAGGAGAGGGUCCUGCGUCUGAUUAGCUAGUUGGUGGGUAACGGCCUACCAAGGCGACGAUCAGUAGCCGGCCUGAGAGGGUGAUCGGCCACAUUGGAACUGAGACACGGUCCAAACUCCUACGGGAGGCAGCAGUGGGGAAUUUUGCGCAAUGGGCGAAAGCCUGACGCAGCAACGCCGCCGUGGGUGAUGAAGGUCUUCGGAUCGUAAAACCCUGUCGUCGGGGACGAAGGUUGUCGGUUGAACAAGCCGGCAGUUUGACGGUACCCGGAGAGGAAGCCCCGGCUAACUCUGUGCCAGCAGCGGC
rnacentral:rRNA from 1 species